GAUGAACGCUGGCGGCGUGCCUAAUACAUGCAAGUCGAGCGAACGGACGAGAAGCUUGCUUCUCUGAUGUUAGCGGCGGACGGGUGAGUAACACGUGGAUAACCUACCUAUAAGACUGGGAUAACUUCGGGAAACCGGAGCUAAUACCGGAUAAUAUUUUGAACCGCAUGGUUCAAAAGUGAAAGACGGUCUUGCUGUCACUUAUAGAUGGAUCCGCGCUGCAUUAGCUAGUUGGUAAGGUAACGGCUUACCAAGGCAACGAUGCAUAGCCGACCUGAGAGGGUAAUCGGCCACACUGGAACUGAGACACGGUCCAGACUCCUACGGGAGGCAGCAGUAGGGAAUCUUCCGCAAUGGGCGAAAGCCUGACGGAGCAACGCCGCGUGAGUGAUGAAGGUCUUCGGAUCGUAAAACUCUGUUAUUAGGGAAGAACAUAUGUGUAAGUAACUGUGCACAUCUUGACGGUACCUAAUCAGAAAGCCACGGCUAACCACGUG
rnacentral:rRNA from 1 species